rnacentral:lncRNA from 1 species
GAAAACAUAAGCUAAAAUGUACAUAAUCCUGAAAAAAUAACAAGCAGGGUAAAAUAGCAUAUUUCAGCUGCUCAUUUAGAUUAGCUAAAUGCAGCAAGUUUAUUUGUCAUUUUGUCCCCUUCUUUGGCUAGCCUUCAAGUCAAAUGAAGAAACUAAAUCAUAUAAAAUGAUGCAUGAUGGAAUUUGUUGUUAUUGAAUUCGGGGAUUUUGAGUUAUGCAGGUGUUAAUUGGAUUGUUGUUAUUGGCAGUUACUGGUGUGAGAUGGCAAAGUCACCGUACAAACUCACCCUCUUGCUCCACUCUUAACAGUGGUGGAACUGGUUGACCGAUGACCACUACCUGCAGCAAAAGCAGAUAUAAAUUGAUUGAUCAGCCAACCAAAAGCAUAAUUAUCUUUUCUUGUUUUCUAUUUCCAAAGAAGACCAAGAAAAAGAUACGCUACAAAUACAAAUGCAUUUUUGUUUUAGGAAAACAGAAUGGGUAUGAUGUAAAAUUAGGGAAUUAUUAGAGAGAGCAAGAGUGAAAGAUUGUGCAAAAGCUUCCGAGAUUUUCUUAUGCAAAGAAAAAGACAAUUCUUCAGAAAAUAACAGAAGAAGAGACAAAGGAAGUACACCAAAACCACUUAAUUAAAUAUUCACGAGAGGCUGGCUUGCCCUCCUAGGAAAGGAGGCUUACAACUAGCAAAAUUCUUGCACCCUCAUUCUUUCGUUUAUUACUGUAAGCAAAAUCCAUUGCGGCAUUCCCCACUCUCCACAUCCUCUUUUAUUUCCUGCCUUCCAAUCUCAAACUUCUUUCUCACCUCAAACACACAACCCAUUUACUUUUUUUCUCUCUGUUGUCAGUCAUGGAAGUUAAUACUACAGCCACCGUACCUGCAGGGCCACCAGCUAAGAACAAUUCUUUCACACAGCACCGCUUACAUUCAGAAAGACAUAGACAUAGCCACGGCCAUUUCCCUACCAAAACCAUUCUCAUUACCGUCUCAUUCGUUACCUUAGUUACGGUCCUAUUUGUCAUUCUUGUGGUCCUGUUCUUGAUCCGUCGUCAAAAAUCUUCCUCCAAAAGUGGCACUUGCAAAGAAGACAGUACAGAGCUUCAUGACACAAGCAGCAGGCUCAUUACUUCAUCAACGUUGAAUUCUAGCCCAGGUAACUAGCUGCCUCGUCACAUGAUAUCAAUGAAUUGCAAAUAGUAUCUUAAAUACUUAUUAGUGAAGCAAUAUCAUAACUAUGUGAAAACUUACAAGAGUUAAUUUGCUAGCAAUUACAACUGCAUAACUUUCCAGACUGCAGAUGAUCAUAUAAAUUUGUCUCUAGCAUAUCAUUAAUUCAUUAGUUCUUCUUAACAUUAAUUCAACUAGUCUUUGAGGGGUGAGGCUUUAAAAUUCAGAAGCUAAUCCAUAAAUGCUUGGAGACAUUUAUUGUAGAAGUAAAGAGUGGGUGUCUUCACGGGGGAAAUUUGGGCAGGACCCCAGCACCUACAUUUCGAGGAGUCCAAGUGUUUACAUAUAGGGAACUAGAAAUUGCUACAGACGGAUUCAGUGAAAGAAAUGUGAUUGGUGGUAAUGGAGGACAUGGCUUGAUGUAUAGAGGAGUUCUAAGUGAUGGCACUUUGGCAGCAAUUAAGUUGCUUCGUAGUGAGGGUAAGCAAGGGGAGCGUGCCUUCAGAAUAGAGGUGAGUCAGUGUGCUUCAUUUAAUGAGUUAAUAUAUCCUCUUCUUUUCAGCACGCAAAGAUUGAAUUAUUUCUUGUUGUUACUUGCACCCUCUCUCUCUCCCAGUGUCUCAUUUCCUUGUAUUAGAUCCAGUUUGUUCAGAGACUUUGUUUUUGUCUUUUGUUAAGCUCAAACUAGUAUUGCUUGCCUAACAAACUUUAUAAGUCGUAAGGAAAUGUUUACAUUAAUAUGAAAGGAAUUUUACAAACUAUCACGUGACAAACUUAAUAUCCUACUAGCAAAUUAUUUAUGCCUUAAUGAUUUGACAUUUGACUCCAGCAAUUAGGGAUAUAAAUUAUUCUUAGGUUUUCUAUAUAUAAUAUCUUAAAGUUAUAACCUUUCUGCAUCUUCUAACCUAGAAAAUUUUGUAAACUGUGAAAACAUGUCAAAGAUUAAAAAAAUCACUCAAAAUUAAAAUAAGUUAUAAAGAUUUAAGUCAUUUGAAUAAUGCACUACUAUUGAAUCAAAAUAUUAAUAUAAGUUAUUCAUAGGUCAUUAAAAUACAGACAAUAAGACAUUUCCUGUCAGCGAUUAUCCUUUUAAAAGAAAUCUCUGGCAUUUUGCAACCAAAUUUGGGACCAUGAAAAUUGGAAUGAACAUCCAUUUACCUUUCUAUCAGUCCAUCCCACUUGCCAACUCAUAUUGUGAGCUUUAUUCAAAUCCAGCACAUGGGUGUGAAGACUAAAUGACAUUUAUUGCAGGUCGAUCUCCUAAGUCGCUUGCACUCUCCAUAUUUGGUGGAGUUACUUGGCUAUUGCGCUGACCAACACCACAGGUUAUUGAUUUUUGAAUACAUGCCCGAUGGUACACUUCACCGCCAUCUUCACUCCCCCAACGAUCAAACUCAACCGUUGGA